GGGGGUGUAAUGGUCUCGACAUUGGUGGCUCGCGCAUGUGGUGCACGUCGGAGGGUCGGCUCCGUCAAGAACGCAUACAGUUUAUUAACUGCAAAAAACAACAAUUCUUACGCUUUAGCUGCCUAAUAACAGCUUAGCGUGAUCGCCGUAGCUUCGCUCAAGGGUUACUCAGCGGUCUCAAACUAAUUGAGCUACGACGUGUCCUGCCACCUGAGGGUCACGGAAGAGAUAGUAGGUUAGUUCAAUUGCGUUAGCCUUGAUUCACGGCACGGCAGUUGGGCGAAUUUCAAAUAGUGGAACUAAACGUGUAGAGCCAUGUGUAGUGGGGCUGAUGGACAGGAGUUCGAUUCUCCUCACCUCCAUUU
rnacentral:tmRNA from 2 species